GGAAGAACAUCAAUCUGGAUGAAUGGGCAAAACUAUUGUGCCAUUUAACUGGAGUUUGCCAAUUACUUAGAGAAGAACACUUAUCUUCAACCUGCUUAACCAGGAGGCCAGUUCAUCUUCUGAUCCCCAAGGACAUGGAGGUGAAUAUGAUAGAAAGACUGUCCCCAGUCUACAGCUUCAUUCACCACCAUCUGAUACCCGCGCUUCAGGCACAGAUCUGCAGCACAUUUCUUGCCAACAAUAAUUAAAUGUCCUAGAAGACUUUCAUCAUCAUCAUCUGCUACAGAAAUCUGGGAUAUAUGCUUCUUUGGUAUCACCAGAACUUCCUGAUUCUUAAGUAGACUUCUUGUGGUGAUUUGAAUAAGAAUGGCUUACUUAAGGACAUAAGUUUGAAUGAUUAGUCCUCAGCGAGUAGUACUACUUGGGAGGGAUUAGGAGGUGUAUCCUUGUUGGGGUAGGUAUGGUCCUGUUGGAGAAAGUAUGUCAUAGAAAUGGGCUUUGAGAUUUCAAGGGCCUAAACCAGU
rnacentral:lncRNA from 1 species